UCAGGCCUAACACAUGCAAGUCGAACGGCAGCACGGACUUCGGUCUGGUGGCGAGUGGCGAACGGGUGUGUAAUACAUCGGAACGUGCCCAGUCGUGGGGGAUAACGUAGCGAAAGCUACGCUAAUACCGCAUACGAUCUACGGAUGAAAGCGGGGGAUCGCAAGACCUCGCGCGAUUGGAGCGGACGAUGGCAGAUUAGGUAGUUGGUGGGGUAAAGGCUCACCAAGCCGACGAUCUGUAGCUGGUCUGAGAGGAUGAUCAGCCACACUGGGACUGAGACACGGCCCAGACUCCUACGGGAGGCAGCAGUGGGGAAUUUUGGACAAUGGGCGCAAGCCUGAUCCAGCCAUUCCGCGUGCAGGAUGAAGGCCUUCGGGUUGUAAACUGCUUUUGUACGGAACGAAAAGGCUCUGGUUAAUACCGGG
rnacentral:rRNA from 1 species